UACGUAGGGUGCGAGCGUUAAUCGGAAUUACUGGGCGUAAAGCGUGCGCAGGCGGUUCGUUAAGUCAGCUGUGAAAGCCCCGGGCUCAACCUGGGAAUGGCGGUUGAAACUGGCGAACUAGAAUCUGGCAGAGGGGGGUGGAAUUCCACGUGUAGCGGUGAAAUGCGUAGAUAUUGGGAGGAACACCAGUGGCGAAGGCGGCUCACUGGACCGGAACUGACGCUGAGGCGCGAAAGCGUGGGGAGCAAACGGG
rnacentral:rRNA from 1 species